UACAGAGGUCUCAAGCGUUGUUCGGAUUCAUUGGGCGUAAAGGGUGCGUAGGCGGCGUGGUAAGUCGGAUGUGAAAUCUCGGAGCUUAACUCCGAAACUGCAUUCGAUACUGCCGUGCUUGAGGACUGGAGAGGAGACUGGAAUUUACGGUGUAGCGGUGAAAUGCGUAGAUAUCGUAAGGAAGACCAGUGGCGAAGGCGGGUCUCUGGACAGUUCCUGACGCUGAGGCGCGAAGGCCAGGGGAGCAAACGGG
rnacentral:rRNA from 1 species